rnacentral:lncRNA from 1 species
UCAUACUUGCUUUCAUGAGUUAGAAACUGUUAAGAUUAAUGCAUACUGCCUUGUUGCUGCUUUGGAUUGUUGCAUUUAGAUUAAAGUCUAAGUUGCAUAUUAAGGAGUGAUUAAAAUUGCCUAAAUACUUUGACUUGAAUCUGAUAAGGUCUUGCUUAGUAUUUAGAGAAUGGUUGCUUGCAUAGAUAAGAACUUGACAUUGUCUUGAUUCUAUCUAAUGUUAUAAAGCUUGAGACAUUGGUGAUCAAACUUGAUGAAGUCAAGGAUUGAUCCCAAUGCAAUUGUGUCUUAUCUUGGCUAGAGUUUGAGUGAUGUUUCAGGUUCACAAAAGGUGCUCCUAGUUCAUCAUCAAAUCCGAGUUGAAAGAGAAAGAAUGAUGCCCAUUGUGUGUACAAUGGAGAGGUGUUACAAGAAAGGGAGAAGCACAGAUGGUUGUAGAACUCACUCGUGCUCUUCUUCUUAACAUUGCAAGUAUCAGAAGAAGAAGCCAACCGGGUCUAGGCAGUGGCGUGCCUAUUCAAGAGGGUGCUCAAACUAAGACAGAGCACUCUUGGCUGUGUGAAGAAGAAGGCUACUCUAUCAAGGCGGCUUCUAUUGUGAGGUGAUUGAAGAAGUAGCUGAAGCAUCCACAAGCAUUCCAUCAUGGUGGUGACUUCAGAAGGGUGAUUGCAAUAAGAGAAGAAGAAGAAGUAAGGAUUCAAGUGGUAACUCUGAGAACCACUCCUCAUCAUCUUAACCAAGGGAGUAAACCUAAUCUCAUCUAUCUUAAUAUGUCUUGAUAGGUUUAACUCCUGAUUAUACUAUGUGCUUUCCCUAAUUCCAUUAAGUGUUUAUAGCUUCUAGUAGAAUGUCUAGGCUAAUUGCACUGAAAUUGUUUUGCUGUUGCAUUGUCAUAUUGAUAGUAAGUAAUGUCUAGAGUCCCAGAAUCUCAUGUUUUGUUUAAUGCAUUGUCUUGAGUGUUGUCAUAGCUUGAAUCAUCAUGAAUGUGUUGUAGAAUUGAGUAGAAUGUCUCUGCUGCUUGCAUCAUGAUUGAUAAGUUAUUUUGCAUACAUAAUCAUAUCUCAUACUGUCUAAGUUCAAUCCUAUUGUUAUCUGAUGCUAUUGCCUAUGUUUAAUCCAUCAAUGAAAGUCUUGCAUCAAUUAGAAAUUGUCUAAGUUGCUUGCAUCAUUGGUUUUGAUUGAAACUGUUGUGCAUAGCCUUAAUAUUGCUCAUGGAUUGAACCUGUUGCAUUCAUAUAGCUAAAGCUUUAAGAUUGUGCAUUCAUGUAGUAAUGCAUUUAAAAAUGAGCCUAAAGUUCUGAUUGUUGCUAUGCCAUAGUUAAAUCCAUCAGUGAUGUCUUAUAAGCAUUUAGAAGUAUGUCUAAGCUAUUUGGAUCAUUGGCAUUGAUAAAAACUAGGGAGCAUAAGCAUGAAUUGUGUCACUCUUG